UGAGUUCUAAAGUGUUCGCCUUGUCGAAUAAAACGUUGCCGAUCAAGUAAUUACUUUAGGGAGCAGCUUCAACUUCGAGAAGAUGGCAUGCCCCAACACGGGGAAGUCAGGCGCUCGAUCAGUUGCGCCCACCUGCACUAGACUGCGGGCCACUACUAUGAGACAAAUUAGCGGCACAGUUAGAACUUUC
rnacentral:other from 1 species